rnacentral:rRNA from 1 species
UACAGAGGUCUCAAGCGUUGUCCGGAAUCAUUGGGCGUAAAGCGCGUGUAGGCGGCUCGAUAAGUCUGCUGUGAAAGUUCAGGGCUCAACCCUGAAAUGCCGGUGGAAACUGUCGAGCUAGAGUACGGAAGAGGUGAGUGGAAUUCCUGGUGUAGCGGUGAAAUGCGCAGAUAUCAGGAGGAACACCAAUGGCGAAGGCAGCUCACUGGGACGUUACUGACGCUGAGACGCGAAAGCGUGGGGAGCAAACAGG